rnacentral:rRNA from 1 species
CCCAACCCACUCUUGUGAAACUACCCCUUUGCCUUGGUGGCCGCAGUUUGCCUCGCCGCUGACAGCGUAAGUCCGCCAGCUAAACUCUUCAGAAACCUUUAGUCUGAACAAAAUUCAUAAAGAAUUAAAACUUUCAACAACGGAUCUCUUGGUUCCCGCAUCGAUGAAGAACGCAGCGAAACGCGAUAGGUAAUGUGAAUUGCAGAAUCUAGUGAAUCAUCGAAUCUUUGAACGCACAUUGCGCCUUCUGGUAUUCCGGAAGGCAUGUCUGUUUGAGCGUGAGUGAAAAACAUCAAGCCAUUGGUUUGUAAGUAUGGGCGUGCCCCCUCGUGGGUCUCGCCUUAAUGCGCACUGGGCGCGGUUAGCACCGCUAGCGAAGUAGUAAUGCUAUUCUUUGCAAAAGUGCCGACAUGCCCCACCCAACUAUUCUAUUGUUUUCACCUCAGAUCAGAUAAGGAUACCCGCUGAACUUAAGCAUAUCAAUAAGCGGAGGAAAAGAAACCAACAGGGAUUGCCUUAGUAACGGCGAGUGAAGCGGCAAUAGCUCAGAUUUGAAAUCGUUUGCGCUUGCGUCUACGAGUUGUAAUCUGCAGAGGAGAUUUCGGUGAGGUGGCCGGUCCAAGUUCCUUGGAACAGGACGUCUUAGAGGGUGAGAAUCCCGUUAUAGACUGGUUGGCCGAUCCAUGUGAAACUCCUUCGACGAGUCGAGUUGUUUGGGAAUGCAGCUCUAACUGGGUGGUAAAUUCCAUCUAAGGCUAAAUAUCGGCGGGAGACCGAUAGCGCACAAGUAGAGUGAUCGAAAGAUGAAAAGCACUUUGAAAAGAGAGUUAAACAGUACGUGAAAUUGUUGAAAGGGAAGCGCUUGCAAUC